CUAAUUUCGCGCUCUGGUAAGCGAGUAAAAUUUGUCCACCAAUAAGGAAUAUGCUUUCUCACACCGGAAAUUGUGAAUAGCCAAUCACAGCCAAGAAGGACUGCUAUUGCAAUACACGUUCAUUCCUGUCGACACAAGGCCAUGGCGUCCAUUGCUCUCAACAUGUCUCCGCUGCAUUUUUUCUUCAAAAAUGAUUCCUUUGUGGUGGCAAGUCAAAAUUUUGAGCUCGAGUCAAUUUGGAGACCCACAAUGCAUUGUGGGAACCAGCGGACUUGGUGGAGUUCAAAAGAUUGACGAGAAGAUGAUCCUGAGCAUAUAUAUUGGGGAGUUGCCCGAUGAUGCAAAGAAUCCGGUCUUCUUGUAAAGUUACAAUUCAAAUUUUCACAAAUUUGGAUUGUAAUCUAGAGAAGGGAUCUCCGGUGACUUUGCGGAAUCGGAAGGAUCGCGAGCUAUGAGAAAAUCUCCUACUUCGUACCACCUGAGGAAAAGAAUAAUGGAAGCCACCUUUGAUAAAGUGUAGAGUCAGUGUUGCUUUUAAAAUAUAUUUUUCUAAAUUUUGCUAUAAAGUUUUUAUAUAUUAAUAAAUGUAGUAAUUCUUAAAAAAAAUUAAAAUCAGUGCGAUAGUGUAAAAUAUUUUA